AACAUAUUAAAAGAGACGAAACGAAACGACGUCGUUUCGUUUCAUUUAAAAUUUAAAAACAAACGUCUCAGGUAAAAAGAAUUAGAUUUCAACUUACAUGAAUUGAACCUGCGACCUUCUACAAAAUCUGAAUACCCUUCACCACUAAGCCAAUCUUUUGGCUUGUGUUAAGGGGUUCAACAUAUUAUAUCUAUACGUAAAACACAAAAUUACCCCUAUAUGAAUAGUGUAAUUUUUCGACGAAGAGUGUUCGGAUGAACACCCUUUCGCCCCCCUAAAUCCGCCCCUACCCUAUACUUUCAAAAAUUAUUUAAAUAUACCAUUUAUUAUACUGUGAGACAAAUAUACUCAUGUCGUUAUACUUUGGGUUCAAAUAUACCCCUCAUUUAAACGGAGUGAUACAUGGCAUCGUCCUAUUGGCCAAUUCUAAAUAUCUCCUAAUUAAUUAAAAAGACUCAUACCCAUAACCAUAUCAGUUACCCAUACCUGAAAAAUAAUUUUCUAAAAUAAUAUUUUUGUAAAAAUUAGAAAAAACUGAAAUUAUUUUUACUAAAAACUGAAAAAAACAAAAAUAUUUUUUUUCUAGUUAUUACAAAAAUAUUGCUUUUAAAAAAGACAGAAAAAUAUUUUUUUUGUAAAAACUAAAAAAUAUUUUGUUGAAUUUGUUUUUUCAGUUUUUACAAAAAAAAAUGCUUUAGAAAAUUGCUUAGCAAAAAAAAUGAUUUAGAAAAUGGAAAUGUCCAAAAAUGCCCUCGAACUAUCGAAAAUAGCUCAAUUAUACCCUUUGUUUGCUUUUGGUACCAAACCUAUACUCCCCCUCACUCUUUGGGACCAUAAAUGCCUCACAACUAACAGAUGGCCACAUGUAUAUCCUACGUGUAAUAAAAUACGUGACAACUCACUAACAUAUAAUUUACCCAUUAACCUAGAUGGUAACCCGCGACCCGAUUGUCUAAUUAAAGGGGCAAAACGAUUUUACGCCUCAUUUCUCACUUACCCUUCUAAAGGUAUCUUAGAGAGGCGAUUUCAAAUGAGGGUUUCAGAGGAAUAACAAGAUAAAUUGAAGAUUAUUUACCAUUAUCUGAAGCUAUUUAGGUAAGGAUUCAUCUUAGUUAAGCUUUUCAAUGAUUAUUAGUUGGUUUAGGUCAUGGAUUAUUUGUGACUAAGAUUUACGAUUUUGGGGUAAUCUCAAAUUUUUAUUUGAUGUACUGUUAUUUGGAUAAAAACACUACUGUUUUUUGUUUAAGGUGUCAUUUUCGAGCAUAGUGAUAAGUUAUGAUUUUGUGAAAUUUCUUAAGUGACAACAACUUUAGUCGUUGAAAGUGACAACAAUUUCUUAUUUUCAAGACUACAUGUGUCUCUUUCUUCUAUAGUUUAUGCAGUAAUUUAUUGUGUGGUCCUUUUAUCUUUUUAUUUGCCUUUAGAGUAGAUCUCCUGAAUAUUUAAGUUUCAACUAUAGAUAAUUUAUUGAUAUGAACCCUCUUUGUCUAUUUCUAUUUUUUUCCAGAGAUUCAAUAUGAACGAUUUGGUUGUUGAAGUAGGUACUGAUUGUGAAUCAGAAAGUAAUGAAAGUUCAGGUUAUCAAUCAGAUUCUAGUGAAUAUGACUUUGAGGAAUUAGAGUUAAUUAGGAUACAAAAGAAAAAAGAAGUCAAUGAUAAGCUUACUCACUACAAGGAGCUUGAUAACUCUAUGACAUUUAAGAACUUGGAAGAAGCUAAGAAAGUCAUAAACUUGUAUGCUAUUGCCAAUCAAAAAUCUCUGAAGGUGAAAAAAGUAAUAAAACAAGAUUUAUUUAUAGAUGUAUAUUAGGCUGUCCAUUUGUGUGUCUCAUAUCAGAAGAUAGGGGAGGUCCAGGAUUUAAGAUAAAAACAUUAAAGUUAAAGCAUACAUGUGGUGAAACAUUUGAUAACCCUAGAGCUACCACAAAAACUCUAACUCAUUAUUUCAAGAGUAAGGUGCAGAAUAACCCCAAGUACAAGAUAAAGGAUAUGAGACAAGAUUUAAAAGAUCAAUUUUUGUUGAAUGCUAAUAUGUCAAAGCUAAAAAGGGCCAAGAGGAUGGCCCUUCAAACAAUGCAAGGUAGCUUUUUAGAUGACUAUAAUAGACUAUAAGCAUAUGCAAAUGAGAUCAGGGAGAGCAAUCCUGGUAGUGAUGCAGUUAUCAAUUUAUCAAAUGAUGGGAUGACCGAAGGGUCAAUGCAAAGGACAACUAUUGGUGGCUAUGGCACAAGAUUGUAUGAAUCAUUUUUAUCCAUUGGCUUGGGCUAUAGUUGAUAGGGAAACUAGUAGGACAUGGACAUGGUUUCUGGAGCUGCUGCAACAUCUAUUGAAUCUGAAGAAUGGUGAAAGUAUUACUUUUAUGUCUGACAUGCAAAAGAUUUUUUGUUAGGCAUAUUGAAUCCAACAUGAGUAAGAUAGUGCAGUUAUGAGGAAGAGUUUAAGGACUAGUUAAAACAACUUGGCUCUUUGUGUGCUGAUGCUGCUAAGGAUUUGCUUAGGUAUCCACCACAAAACUAGUGUAGAGCAUAUUUUGAUACAGUAUGCAAAAAUAAGAUGGUGGACAAUAAUUUUACCGAAUCCUUCAAAUCUUGGAUCUUAGAAGCAAGAGGCAAGCCUAUCUUGAAGAUGCUUGAGAAUAUUAGAAUCAAGAUCAUGAACAUGUUGAGAGAGAAAGGAGAGGUUAGAACAUGGACUAUUGAGUUUAGUCCUUAUUGCAUGAAGUUGUUUACCACUUAUCUAAACAUAGCUAAUAAUUCAUGCACUGUGAAUUUCAAUGGUGACAUUGGGUAUGGAGUUUCCGAGGGUGAUGAUAAACAUUCAGUGAACCUGGUAAUGAAGAAAUGCACAUGUAAAACUUGCCAGUUAACUGGCAUCCCAUGUCCCCGUGCUAUCAAGGCAAUGUAAUACAAGAAAUUGGAUCUGAUCACUGAAAUUAAUUGGCGGAGCCACUCCGAACUAAGAGGAAUCUAAAGAGUGUUUUGGAGUCAAUAUGGCGUGUGGAAGGCCAAUCGAAGGUUAGCCCGGUCGAAAAGGAGCGAGAAGAACAAGCGAGGAGGUCCCCUCUAGGUGCGCGACAGCGGAGUUGACCGCGAAUUGGAGGCAGAACACUGGCUAAAAUUCGCGGCCGCGGAUAGGCGGACGGAAGCCAACAGCUGAGGGGCAAUUAUGUAAUUUCUAAGGAGACGAACCUAAGCCUAUAUAAAGCCUAAUUCGUCCAGAAGAGAGGGAAAGCUAUUUUUAGGAGAUUUUGGAGGAAAGAACAAGAGAGAGAAGACGGAAAAGUUCCUAAGAGUUUGCAUCUUCUUCUUCUUACUUUCAUUGUUGAUUAUGAAUUGUUAUAGUGAAUUUUUAUCCAUUUGUAUGAGUAGAUAAACCCAUCAUCUAGGGUUUAUGGAACCAAUUAUUGGAUGAAGUUUUGACUAUGUUUAGAUAUAAUUGAGUUGUUCUUAUUCUA